CGUGAAGUCACCAUGUUAGGUCAUGUGGCACACUAGAAAAAAGCCUUGAUUCUCAUCAUCUUCUGCACCCACAUGAAAAACCAGAGCCGGAGAAGGGCAUCUGAGGAGACGGACAGGUCACCUACCGACGAAGAAGGUAUCAGGAGCAUCAUCGCCUGUCAGCAGCUUCCCUGUUUCGGAAUCAAAGCGAAGCCAAAGUCCAACAGCCAGUACCAAUAAGCCAGAUAGCUGAGGAGCAAACACAUGCAUUAUGGUUUGCUAUAAGCUUAUUCAUUGGACUUUACACCCCAUAAUGGAUGCAGUGGUUGCAACUCGUACUUGAUGUUCCUCAGCCUGUCAAGGAUUGUUGCAUUAUGUCAGGAAGAAGAUUGAAGGACAAAUCUGGACUGCUCUCGUCUCUGCUAAUCAUAAUUCUCAAUCCAUGCUCAACUUAAUUAUUAUUGCUCUAUACCAAACAUGAACGCUGUUUAUUUUGUAUUUUGUAAGUAUUAGUGGGUAGCAGAUGUCAAAUGUCAAUGUAGUCCAAGUAUAUUUUCAAUUCUCAAUUUUGAAACUUUUAUGAACUGUUGUACUGUAUUAGUCCGCACUAGCCAGAACCCCAUUGAUUUUGGUGUAUGUUUGAUUUUAAAAGGCCAAAGGUUUAAUCAGUUUUCCACCUACCCUCUUCCAAACCUUAGACAUAAUAGUACUUUACAAGGGCAAGAACCCAGUUCAUUUUUAAGUAUAUUGUCUCAAAUUGUUGAUUUCAUUUUUUUGUUAUUAUGAAGUGCACAAAUUAAGAUAUGUUUUGUUUUCACCUUCCUACCAGUCCCAAUUUUCAACAAAUAAUCUGUAAUAUGCCAGAAGAAGAAUCCUGUUUAUGAUGAUUAUUUUCAAAAUUCUAUUUAUCGCUAUGCCAAAGCGGGUAACAUCCUAUUGAUUAUAAGAGCUUUGCCCCAAAAUGGCCGAAAAAUGUAAUCAAUGAUGGCCUCUCAGUGUGACCACAAUGUAACCGUCAUCCCUUAGCAUCACUGCUCCAGCUCCCAUAAUGCACUUGGGUCCACAGGCUGUGCCAGCCUCACAGCAUGGUGGCAGUGGUGUGUGUGUGUGUGAGGGGGGCUGACGUAACUCAGGCUGGCAUUGGCUGCCUGCCCCCGUUGGCUCCCCACUUGCCAAAAUAACAGCGUCCAUAGUACAUGCACGCCCCUUUUGGACAGCCAGCACAAGAGCUGCGCUAUCAGUCCCACGGCGCCUUGCAACAAAGAGCCGCUGUCCCUUUUUAUUGCACACAAAUAGCCAUUUUACACAGCAGCCAGGCGUGAAUGUAAGUGUUUAAAUGGGACUCGAAUGCUCUCUAGUCUAUCACUGUCAGUGUGCAAAGUCCAUUUAUUGAAUUUAAUGACAUCCGACACAAAGAUUAUAAUGAUGACUUUAUCCCAUAUCCUUGUAUUAUUGUGCUUGUGCAUUAUUUACUGGAGAUUUUUUUUCUAAUAUUUAUUCCCUCUCAGACAGCAUAACAACAACGUCAAUAUUAGUAUAUAAUAGUAUAUAAGAUAGGGUAAAAUGCACAAACUUCUAUAGUGGACGACUGUGUGGUCAACACUGGUAUUAAAAGUUAUGGCUGUAGGCAACCUCUUAAUGUUAUGUGCUGCACAAGUAGAUGCAUUUGAAGCAUCAGUGGUCAGCAUCCAGCAGUUCUGUCUACCUCUGCAUGGGCUUUAAAGUGUUGUUACUCAGCUGUUGGUCUUUUGUAGCAAUAAAAAGUUAGAAAAGUUAGCGAUGCUGCGUCUGUUGCUGAAGCAAAAUUGCCCACUGAUGUAUUGCAUCAAUAAAUGUAUGGAUUUUUGCAUUCUAACAGAAAAAACACACAAUCUAUGGUGAUAAAUUAAGAGUAAAACGGAAUUUAAAAAAAAAAUGUAAAUGGAAAAAUCUGAAUACGUGGGAAAAAAAAAUAUUGAGAAAAAUAAAACUGAUUUAAUAGGGCCCUAGAUGUGGAUGCCAACAACACCAAUACGUGCUU